GAUGAACGCUGGCGGCGUGCCUAAUACAUGCAAGUCGAGCGAACGGACGAGAAGCUUGCUUCUCUGAUGUUAGCGGCGGACGGGUGAGUAACACGUGGAUAACCUACCUAUAAGACUGGGAUAACUUCGGGAAACCGGAGCUAAUACCGGAUAAUAUUUUGAACCGCAUGGUUCAAAAGUGAAAGACGGUCUUGCUGUCACUUAUAGAUGGAUCCGCGCUGCAUUAGCUAGUUGGUAAGGUAACGGCUUACCAAGGCAACGAUGCAUAGCCUACCUGAGAGGGUGAUCGGCGACACUGGAACUGAGACACGGUCCAGACUCCUACGGGAGGCAGCAGUAGGGAAUCUUCCGCAAUGGGCGAAAGCCUGACGGAGCAACGCCGCGUGAGUGAUGAAGGUCUUCGGAUCGUAAAACUCUGUUAUUAGGGAAGAACAUAUGUGUAAGUAACUGUGCACAUCUUGACGGUACCUAAUCAGAAAGCCACGGCUAACUACGUG
rnacentral:rRNA from 1 species